rnacentral:lncRNA from 1 species
UGUUAGUUUGGAUGAUUUAAGUCCGUACUUGCUUAGAUUAUUCUUACAUGAGAACACUUGGGAUAAAACCCAAGUAAAUUGUAUGAUCUAGCGUUAUCUCCAUACGUUUGGGUAGCUAGGAUUGGAUCUCUCUAUUUCUUAAUGCAAUUGACAAUUGUUUUGAUGCCUAAGGCCCAAGGACGUUCCUUGGCAAUUUGUUAAUUAGUAAUUAAUUAGAGGACGUUCCCUAAUUAGUUUAAUCAUAAGGAGAGAUAAUGGUGGUGAGAAGCGUCUUCCAUCUCCAUAACUAAUCUAUUGAAUCAACCCAAAGGAAACUAAGUGUCAAUGAUCAAUCCCAACAACUAAAGUGGAUCCAACUCUUCAACUAGAUCUUUCUCAUUAUUUAUUUCUCUUUUAUUUUGUUAUUUGCUUAUUUUAAUUGCUUUCAGUAGUUUGUUAAUCAAACCAAUCUCAAACCCCCCAUUUUACUUUUACUGCAAUUUAUUUUUAUUCCGUUUUCAGUUUUAUCUCGUUUUAGUUUAUUUUGCUUUCCGUUUAUUUCUCUAUCAGUUUUAUCUCAUUUCAGUUUUAUCUCAUUUCAGUUUAUCUCGUUUUCAGUUUUAUCUCGUUUCAGUUUUAUCUCGUUUCAGUUUAUCUCGUUUUCAGUUUUCUUCUUUUGCAGUUUAUUUUUAUUUCAGUUUAUUUUAUUGGUCUUGAUAAGGAAAAUAGGUAAAUCUUCAAUUCCCUGUGGAUUCGAUCCUUUCACCACUAUCUGCAGUUGUAAAUUGUUGAUAACCAGAAAGGUUAUUUUUGACCGGUUUCGACAACCGCGAGUGGAUAAACA